rnacentral:tRNA from 1 species
GGGCGUGUGACUCAGUGGUAGAGUGUUCGCUUUGCAUCGAUUCGUCAACAGCUUGCGAAAAGUCCGGUGUUCGAUCCACCGCUCGUCCA